GACGUAGGGCGCGAGCGUUGUCCGGAUUUAUUGGGCGUAAAGAGCUCGUAGGCGGCUUGUUGCGUCGACCGUGAAAACCCGGGGCUCAACUUCGGGCUUGCGGUCGAUACGGGCGGGCUAGAGUUCGGUAGGGGAGACUGGAAUCCUGGUGUAGCGGUGAAAUGCGCAGAUAUCAGGAGGAACACCGGUGGCGAAGGCGGGGUCUCUGGGCCGAUACUGACGCUGAGGAGCGAAAGCGUGGGGAGCGAACAGG
rnacentral:rRNA from 1 species